CUACGGGUCGCUCCAGUGGGGAAUAUUGGACAAUGGGGGAAACCCUGAUCCAGCAAUGCCGCUUGUGUGAAGAAGGCCUGCGGGUUGUAAAGCACUUUCGGUUGGGAGGACUGCUUCUAGCACUAAUAUUGUUGGAAGUUGACGUUACCUUCAGAAGAAGCACCGGCUAACUCCGUGCCAGCAGCCGCGGUAAUACGGAGGGUGCAAGCGUUAAUCGGAAUUACUGGGCGUAAAGCGCGCGGAGGCGGCUAGAUCAGUCGGGUGUGAAAGCCCCGGGCUUAACCUGGGAACUGCAUCCGAUACUGUCUAGCUUGAGUACAGGAGAGGAGAGUGGAAUUCCACAUGUAGCGGUGAAAUGCGUAGAUAUGUGGAGGAACACCAAUGGCGAAGGCAGCUCUCUGGCCUGAUACUGACGCUGAGGUGCGAAAGCGUGGGGAUCAAACAGGAUUAGAUACCCUGGUAGUC
rnacentral:rRNA from 1 species